GCACAAGCGGUGGAUGAUGUGAUUAAUUCGAUGCAACGCGAAAAACCUUACCUACCCUUGACAUGUUCGGAAUCCCGAAGAGAUUUGGGAGUGCUCGCAAGAGAGCCGGAACACAGGUGCUGCAUGGCUGUCGUCAGCUCGUGUCGUGAGAUGUUGGGUUAAGUCCCGCAACGAGCGCAACCCUCGCCUCUAGUUGCCAGCAUUCGGUUGGGCACUCUAGAGGGACUGCCGGCGACAAGUCGGAGGAAGGUGGGGAUGACGUCAAAUCAUCAUGCCCCUUAUGACCUGGGCUACACACGUGCUACAAUGGGCGGUACAAAGGGCUGCGAACCCGCGAGGGGGAGCCAAUCCCACAAAGCCGGUCGUAGUCCGGAUCGCAGUCUGCAACUCGACUGCGUGAAGUCGGAAUCGCUAGUAAUCGCGGAUCAGCAUGUCGCGGUGAAUACGUUCCCGGGUCUU
rnacentral:rRNA from 1 species